CUAAGGAAAAAUCGGAAGCCAUUGAGUUCGUUUUGUUUAGUUUUGAGAGGUCUUGUGGGGCCUUAGCUCAGCUGGGAGAGCGCCUGCUUUGCACGCAGGAGGUCAGCGGUUCGAUCCCGCUAGGCUCCAUUAUCUAGGAUGCAAAGAAAUGAGAUUCUUGUUCAACUAGAUAAGAUAAGAUAGGUGUUCAACGGGUAAAGAAGUUGAACACGAACCUAAUUAGCCCAUUGAAAAUUGAAUAACGAUAUCAAAUAGUAACAAGAAAAUAAACCGAAACGCUGUGAAUAUUAAUGAGUUUAUGACUGAAAGGUCAAAAUAA
rnacentral:tRNA from 1 species